GAUGAAGAACGUAGCGAAAUGCGAUACUUGGUGUGAAUUGCAGAAUCCCGUGAACCAUCGAGUUUUUGAACGCAAGUUGCGCCCGAAGCCAUUAGGCCGAGGGCACGCCUGCCUGGGCGUCACACGUCGUUGCCCCCCCAUCUACUCCUUCGGGAUUGCGGGGGGCGGAUGAUGGCCUCCCGUGCGCCUCGUCGCGCGGUUGGCAUAAAUGCCAAGUCCUCGGCGACACACGCCACGACAAUCGGUGGUUGCGAAACCUCGGUUGCCCGUCGUGUGCGGUCGUCGCGCAUCGAGGGCUCGAAAAAAUUGCCGGGCUCCGGCUCGGCUUUCAACGCGACCCCAGGUCAGGCGGGGUUACCCGCUGAAUUUAAGCAUAUCAAUAAGCGGAGGA
rnacentral:misc_RNA from 1 species